rfam:Myotis brandtii contig257874, whole genome shotgun sequence.
AGGCCUGAAGAGAGAAGCAGGGUCUGAUCCAUAGCCUCCAUGGUGGCUGUUGAUCAGCUAUUGCUUCUCUAUUUCUCUCCA